CCCAGCUGUUGGACCUGGAAUACCAAGCAAGACGGGCUUACAUCGACUCUGAUGUUCUGAAGGAGCACGACAGACCUACCAAGAUUCUUCAAGCAUAUCCCUGCUUCAGAGAAGUGGAUCAUAUAAUGGAUGAACUGCAGCGGAUCCUCAAUCAAGGAAACCCCCACUUCAUAGCUGAACUGAAGAACCGCUGGAAGACCUUUUGUGAGAAGAUCCAGUUUUAUGGCGUUUUCAAAAAAGUCAUGAGACCUCCACUGGCUGAUAAAGUAAAGCGAGGGGUUGCGAUGAUGAAAGCUUUGCCAGACGUCUUCCCAUCACCCAUUGCUCCACCCAAGAAGUUGGGGCAUGCAAGUGAGGCCAUUCUUCACAUCUUGAGUCUGUGGAAGACCCCAACGCUUUCCUGAACGCAAGACCGCUCUCCAGCCCUGUAGUGAUCGUCUGUGAGAGCAACUGCAUUCUGGCCAUCGGAACCAUGCCUGUGCUGAUCUUCCCAAAGGAGGACAUCUCAGUGUGAUGUACAUCAUGGCAUGCUGCUACACCUUUCACCUCACAUACCCCAAGUGCAUAACCACACUCCUCUCUGUGCUGCAGACAGAGGUCCUCAUGGAUGCCAUCCAUGACCAAGACAUGACUUCUUCAUAUAAAAAAGCUAUGGCUGAGUGGAGGAAGUUCAGAGGACUUUUUGCAGUGUAGGAGAAGUAAAGAAGGGGAAGUUCAUACGUCAGGUGGCAGAUGAAGAUGGACAGAAUGACUUUUCAGCCCAUCAGGUCAUCCAUGAACAAAUGGAGACAGAUCUUACAUUAUAUGAGAUGGAACAUUUUAAAUUUUACUUCAACAUAAUUGAUGGCACAAUUUACCCCCAACAUGUUUUCUCCAAAGGCUCAACUAAGUCCAAGUUUGUUCCCUUUGGAAAGCCAUAUUCCUCAUAUACAAUGACUACACCAGUGUUUCAGCAUUUUACAUGAACCCAAAUUUAUCCACUGUGUGCUUUCUUUACAGUAAAUAUGACAGCUAAAAGUUUAAAAAAUAACAACAUUACAUAUAUGCUGCUUUGUUUACAUUUGAACGAGGUAGUGCUGCAUUUAAAUCAGGGUGCAGACAGUUCUGCACAGUGUCUUCCAGAUUUCAACAAGACAACAGGACGACUUGAAACGAGCAGGACAUCGAGAUUAAUCUCAACUUUAACCUUUCAAGAAAACCCAAAGAAGCCAACAUUUUUGAGUCUUUUUUGACAAGAUAAAAAUGAACAAUCAAAGUUCAUCCUCAUCCUCAUCUUCCUCUGAGGAGAGUACUACAAGGCAUCCUUUCGAAGUCCCAGAAGACUACAAGUUGAUGCAAAACCUGGAACAUGGAAGCUGUGGAUUUGUGCCGGAACGUAUGACAAACAACACUGAAGAGCACGAGGCCAUAAAGGUGUCCGAACGGAACUGUCAAGAC